rnacentral:rRNA from 1 species
GAUGAACGCUGGCGGCGUGCUUAAUACAUGCAAGUCGAGCGAAGUGCUUUAACGGAAUUCUUCGGAAGGAAGAUAAAGUGACUGAGCGGGCGACGGGUGAGGUACGCGCGUGGGUAACCUGCCUUAUACAGGGGGAUAACAGUUAGAAAUGGCUGCUAAUACCGCAUAAGCGCACAGGACCGCAUGGUCUGGUGUGAAAAACUCCGGUGGUAUAAGAUGGACCCGCGUCUGAUUAGCUAGUUGGUGGGGUAACGGCCCACCAAGGCGACGAUCAGUAGCCGGCCUGAGAGGGUGAACGGCCACAUUGGGACUGAGACACGGCCCAG